rnacentral:rRNA from 1 species
GGGUUGUGAGGUUAAGCGACUAAGCGUACACGGUGGAUGCCCUGGCAGUCAGAGGCGAUGAAGGGCGUGCUAAUCUGCGAUAAGCGCCGGUAAGGUGAUAUGAACCGUUAUAACCGGCGAUACCCGAAUGGGGAAACCCAGUGUGAUUCGUCACACUAUCAUUAACUGAAUCCAUAGGUUAAUGAGGCGAACCGGGGGAACUGAAACAUCUAAGUACCCCGAGGAAAAGAAAUCAACCGAGAUUCCCCCAGUAGCGGCGAGCGAACGGGGAGGAGCCCAGAGCCUGAAUCAGCAUGUGUGUUAGUGGAAGCGUCUGGAAAGGCGCGCGAUACAGGGUGACAGCCCCGUACACAAAAGCGCAUAUGCUGUGAGCUCGAUGAGUAGGGCGGGACACGUGGUAUCCUGUCUGAAUAUGGGGGGACCAUCCUCCAAGGCUAAAUACUCCUGACUGACCGAUAGUGAACCAGUACCGUGAGGGAAAGGCGAAAAGAACCCCGGCGAGGGGAGUGAAAAAGAACCUGAAACCGUGUACGUACAAGCAGUGGGAGCACCCUUUUGGGUGUGACUGCGUACCUUUUGUAUAAUGGGUCAGCGACUUAUAUUCUGUAGCAAGGUUAACCGAAUAGGGGAGCCGGAGGGAAACCGAGUCUUAAUUGGGCGUUAAGUUGCAGGGUAUAGACCCGAAACCCGGUGAUUCAGCCAUGGGCAGGUUGAAGGUUGGGUAACACUAACUGGAGGACCGAACCGACUAAUGUUGAAAAAUUAGCGGAUGACCUGUGGCUGGGGGUGAAAGGCCAAUCAAACCGGGAGAUAGCUGGUUCUCCCCGAAAGCUAUUUAGGUAGCGCCUCGUGAAUUCAUCUCCGGGGGUAGAGCACUGUUUCGGCUAGGGGGCCAUCCCGGCUUACCAACCCGAUGCAAACUGCGAAUACCGGAGAAUGUUAUCACGGGAGACACACGGCGGGUGCUAACGUCCGUCGUGAAGAGGGAAACAACCCAGACCGCCAGCUAAGGUCCCAAAGUCAUGGUUAAGUGGGAAACGAUGUGGGAAGGCACAGACAGCCAGGAUGUUGGCUUAGAAGCAGCCAUCAUUUAAAGAAAGCGUAAUAGCUCACUGGUCGAGUCGGCCUGCGCGGAAGAUGUAACGGGGCUAAACCAUGCACCGAAGCUGCGGCAGCGACGUUUAUGCGUUGUUGGGUAGGGGAGCGUUCUGUAAGCCUGCGAAGGUGGCCUGUGAGGGUUGCUGGAGGUAUCAGAAGUGCGAAUGCUGACAUAAGUAACGAUAAAGCGGGUGAAAAGCCCGCUCGCCGGAAGACCAAGGGUUCCUGUCCAACGUUAAUCGGGGCAGGGUGAGUCGACCCCUAAGGCGAGGCCGAAAGGCGUAGUCGAUGGGAAACGGGUUAAUAUUCCCGUACUUGGUGUUACUGCGAAGGGGGGACGGAGAAGGCUAUGUUGGCCGGGCGACGGUUGUCCCGGUUUAAGCGUGUAGGCUGGUUUUCCGGUGCAAAUCCGGAAAAUCAAGGCUGAGGCGUGACGACGAGGCACUACGGUGCUGAAGCAACAAAUGCCCUGCUUCCGGUGAAAAGCCUCUAAGCAUCAGGUAACAUCAAAUCGUACCCCAAACCGACACAGGUGGUCAGGUAGAGAAUACCAAGGCGCUUGAGAGAACUCGGGUGAAGGAACUAGGCAAAAUGGUGCCGUAACUUCGGGAGAAGGCACGCUGACACGUAGGUGAAGUGAUUUACUCAUGGAGCUGAAGUCAGUCGAAGAUACCAGCUGGCUGCAACUGUUUAUUAAAAACACAGCACUGUGCAAACACGAAAGUGGACGUAUACGGUGUGACGCCUGCCCGGUGCCGGAAGGUUAAUUGAUGGGGUCAGCGCAAGCGAAGCUCCUGAUCGAAGCCCCGGUAAACGGCGGCCGUAACUAUAACGGUCCUAAGGUAGCGAAAUUCCUUGUCGGGUAAGUUCCGACCUGCACGAAUGGCGUAAUGAUGGCCAGGCUGUCUCCACCCGAGACUCAGUGAAAUUGAACUCGCUGUGAAGAUGCAGUGUACCCGCGGCAAGACGGAAAGACCCCGUGAACCUUUACUAUAGCUUGACACUGAACAUUGAGCCUUGAUGUGUAGGAUAGGUGGGAGGCUUUGAAGCGUGGACGCCAGUCUGCGUGGAGCCGACCUUGAAAUACCACCCUUUAAUGUUUGAUGUUCUAACGUGGACCCGUAAUCCGGGUUGCGGACAGUGUCUGGUGGGUAGUUUGACUGGGGCGGUCUCCUCCUAAAGAGUAACGGAGGAGCACGAAGGUUGGCUAAUCCUGGUCGGACAUCAGGAGGUUAGUGCAAUGGCAUAAGCCAGCUUGACUGCGAGCGUGACGGCGCGAGCAGGUGCGAAAGCAGGUCAUAGUGAUCCGGUGGUUCUGAAUGGAAGGGCCAUCGCUCAACGGAUAAAAGGUACUCCGGGGAUAACAGGCUGAUACCGCCCAAGAGUUCAUAUCGACGGCGGUGUUUGGCACCUCGAUGUCGGCUCAUCACAUCCUGGGGCUGAAGUAGGUCCCAAGGGUAUGGCUGUUCGCCAUUUAAAGUGGUACGCGAGCUGGGUUUAGAACGUCGUGAGACAGUUCGGUCCCUAUCUGCCGUGGGCGCUGGAGAACUGAGGGGGGCUGCUCCUAGUACGAGAGGACCGGAGUGGACGCAUCACUGGUGUUCGGGUUGUCAUGCCAAUGGCACUGCCCGGUAGCUAAAUGCGGAAGAGAUAAGUGCUGAAAGCAUCUAAGCACGAAACUUGCCCCGAGAUGAGUUCUCCCUGAGACUUAAAGUCUCCUGAAGGAACGUUGAAGACGACGACGUUGAUAGGCCGGGUGUGUAAGCGCAGCGAUGCGUUGAGCUAACCGGUACUAAUGAACCGUGAGGCUUAACCUUACAACGCCGAAG